GAUGAACGCUGGCGGCGUGCCUAAUACAUGCAAGUCGAGCGAACGGACGAGAAUCUUGCUUUUCUGAUGUUAGCGGCGGACGGGUGAGUAACACGUGGAUAACCUACCUAUAAGACUGGGAUAACUUCGGGAAACCGGAUCUAAUACCGGAUAAUAUUUUGAACCGCAUGGUUCAAAAGUGAAAGACGGUCUUGCUGUCACUUAUAGAUGGAUCCGCGCUGCAUUAGCUAGUUGGUAAGGUAACGGCUUACCAAGGCAACGAUGCAUAGCCGACCUGAGAGGGGAAUAGGCCAAACGGGAACUGAGACACGGCCAAGACCCCAAGGGAAGGCAGAAGGAGGGAAUUUGGCGCAAGGGGCGAAGCCUGACGGAGCAACGCCGCGUGAGUGAUGAAGGUCUUCGGAUCGUAAAACUCUGUUAUUAGGGAAGAACAUAUGUGUAAGUAACUGUGCACAUCUUGACGGUACCAAAUCAGAAAGCAACGGCUAACUACGUG
rnacentral:rRNA from 1 species